CGGAGGGUGCAAGCGUUAAUCGGAAUUACUGGGCGUAAAGCGCACGCAGGCGGUUUGUUAAGUCAGAUGUGAAAUCCCCGAGCUUAACUUGGGAACUGCAUUUGAAACUGGCAAGCUAGAGUCUUGUAGAGGGGGUAGAAUUCCAGGUGUAGCGGUGAAAUGCGUAGAGAUCUGGAGGAAUACCGGUGGCGAAGGCGGCCCCCUGGACAAAGACUGACGCUCAGGUGCGAAAGCGUGGGGAGCAAACAGGAUUAGAUACCCUGGUAGUCCACGCUGUAAACGAUGUCGACUUGGAGGUUGUGCCCUUGAGGCGUGGCUUCCGGAGCUAACGCGUUAAGUCGACCGCCUGGGGAGUACGGCCGCAAGGUUA
rnacentral:rRNA from 1 species